rnacentral:rRNA from 1 species
AACGAACGCUGGCGGCGUGCCUAACACAUGCAAGUCGUGCGAGAAAGUUCCUUCGGGAGCGAGUAAAGCGGCGCACGGGUGAGUAACACGUAGGUAACCUGCCCCCCAGUCUGGAACAACUAGAGGAAACUCUAGCUAAUGCCGGAUGAGACCACGAUCCCUUCGGGGGUUGCGGCCAAAAGAUGGCCUCUACUUGUAAGCUAUCGCUGAGGGAUGGGCCUGCGGGCCAUUAGCUUGUUGGUGAGGUAACGGCUCACCAAGGCUGUGAUGGCUAGCUGGUCUGAGAGGAUGACCAGCCACACUGGGACUGAGACACGGCCAGACUCCUACGGGAGCAGCAGUGGGGAAUAUUGCGCAAUGGGCGAAAGCCUGACGCAGCACGCCGCGUGGGUGAUGAAGG